GUGAAACCCUAGCAGAGCAUGCAUUUAAUAAGGAGAAAAGUUGACUUUCCCUUUCCAGCACACACAGAAGAACAAUGCACAAAAGCUAAAAUACCUGUUACCAGAAGUAACGCCUGAGAAAGUUGACUUGGGAAAGCAGCGCCUCGAGAAGAAAGCCUAGUGCAGGCUUCACGAGGCCUACAACGUCUAUUUGUCUUGCACCAAAACGGAAAUAGCAGAAGGACUAAGGGGAAAAAGGAGAGAAAACCAAGCCACAUUUAGAGAUUCCUUAAGAUACCUAAAAGGGAGUCAUUCAUCUACAAAAGGUAAGUCAUAAGC
rnacentral:lncRNA from 1 species